AUUUGAAGUAAUCAGAUGAGGAGCCCCAUUCGAACACGUCUGCGUGAGCGCGCCAUGUUUGAAGAGACCUGAGACCGGUUGAUGAUGCACGCGAUGGAUUUGGAAAACAUCAUGAAAUGGUGUUCAUGGAGUUCUACAGGAUUGUGGGCAAGAAUCUCAAGCAAUCAUCUAAUUGAGAUAUUUCAGUCUAAAGUGGGAAUGUUGGGCAGCUGUUGACAGCUUUCACAACAAAUCAAGACUAAAGAGCCAACUGAUACUAGGUUUCUGGUGCUCAGAGGGCUCAUCUCAGCUACCCUAAAUCUGUGAAGAACACAUUCCAGAUCAUCCAACAGGUACUUCUCAUGUUGGGCCACAGUGAACUAAAACCCAGGUUGCAAACUCUGAAAAAUUGUCCUACAAUGUUAGGAAAUGUGAGAAGCUUCCAUGAGAAGUCACUUGUGUUCUGCCGUACGAGACAUUAAAGUGUAUUCUGUCUCUGCAUAUUAGUGCUGUUAGAGCUCCGUUAAUGUGUGUUCACACAAUUCUUCAGCCAAGUUUAAAGUUAUAGAGACUUGCCUUAAUUUAAGCCCAGUUGUUAAUGCACAUCCAGGCAUUCACAAAGGAUAUAGCAUAUAUUCUUGAAUACUGUGUGUUCUUGUUUCUUCUACAAAAUAGUUACAAUUGUUAACAAGCUGUUCCAAAGGCUUGUGGCUGACAAGUUUUAUGUAUUGUUGUGGUACCAUUUCUUUGGUGAA